rnacentral:rRNA from 1 species
UAUGAUCCAGAGUACCACGGGACACGUGAAACCCUGUGGGAAGCAGGAGGGACCAUCCUCCAAGCCUAAAUACUACCUAGUGACCGAUAGCGCAUAGUACCGUGAGGGAAAGGUGAAAAGAACCCCGGGAGGGGAGUGAAAGAGAACCUGAAACCCUGCACUUACAAGCUGUAGGAGCACAUUAUUUGUGUGACUGCGUACUUUUUGUAGAACGGGCCAACGAGUUACGUUGUGUAGCAAGGUUAAGCACUUAAGGUGUGGAGCCGUAGCGAAAGCGAGUCUUAAAUGGGCGUCCAGUUACCCGACGUAGACCCGAAACCAGGCGACCUAUCCAUGAGCAGGUUGAAGCGAAAGUAAAAUUUCGUGGAGGACCGAACCCACGUACGUUGAAAAGUGCGGGGAUGACUUGUGGAUAGCGGUGAAAUUCCAAUCGAGCCUGGAGAUAGCUGGUUCUCCCCGAAAUAGCUUUAGGGCUAGCCUCAAGCUUAGAGAAACGGAGGUAGAGCACUGAAUGUCCUAGGGGGUAUUGCACUUACCGAAGACUAUCAAACUCCGAAUGCCGUAUUCUUUUGCUUGGGAGUCAGACUAUGGGUGAUAAGAUUCAUAGUCAAGAGGGCAACAGCCCAGAUCGUCAGCUAAGGUCCCUAAAUGUAAGUUAAGUGGUAAAGGAUGUGGAAUUGCACAGACAACCAGGAUGUUGGCUUAGAAGCAGCCACUCAUUUAAAGAGUGCGUAAUAGCUCACUGGUCGAGUGAUUCUGCGCCGAAAAUUUCCGGGGCUAAAACUUACUACCGAAGCUACGGCAUCAUUAUGAUGGGUAGGGGAGCUUUCUAUGUGGCUUGAAGCAUGACCGUAAGGACAUGUGGACUGCAUAGAAGUGAGAAUGUUGGCAUGAGUAGCGAGAUGUGGGUGAGAAUCCCACAGGCCGUAAACCCAAGGUUUCCAGGGGAAGGUUCGUCCGCCCUGGGUUAGUCAGGACCUAAGCCGAGGCCGAAAGGCGUAGGUGAUGGACAACAGGUUGAUAUUCCUGUACCACCAAUAACCGUUUGAGAAAUGGGAUGACACAGUAGGAUAAGCUAACCGCACUGUUGGUUAUGUGCGGGCAAGUAUUGAGGCAGUUCCGAUAGGCAAAUCCGUCGGAAUAAUGCUGGGGUACGAUGCGGAGCGAAAUUUAGUAGCGAAGUAGCUGAUUUCACACUGUCGAGAAAAGUCUCUAUCGAGGUUAAAGGUGCCUGUACCGCAAACCGACACAGGUGGGUGAGGAGAGUAUCCUAAGGCCAGCGAGAGAACUGUUGUUAAGGAACUCGGCAAAAUGACCCCGUAACUUAGGGAGAAGGGGUGCCUUCGAAAGAAGGCCGCAGAGAAUAGGCCCAAGCGACUGUUUACCAAAAACAUAGGUUUCUGCUAAGUCGCAAGACGAUGUAUAGGAGCUGACGCCUGCCCGGUGCUGGAAGGUUAAGGGGAUCUGUUAGAGCAAUCGAAGCAGUGAACUUAAGCCCCAGUAAACGGCGGCCGUAACUAUAACGGUCCUAAGGUAGCGAAAUUCCUUGUCGGGUAAGUUCCGACCCGCACGAAAGGCGUAACGAUUUGGGCACUGUCUCAACAACAGACUCGGUGAAAUUGUAAUACCGGUGAAGAUGCCGGUUACCUGCGACAGGACGGAAAGACCCCAUGGAGCUUUACUGUAGCUUGACAUUGAGUCUCGGUGCUACAUGUACAGGAUAGGUGGGAGACUAUGAAGCAUGGACGUCAGUCUGUGUGGAGUCAUCCUUGGGAUACCACCCUUGUAGUACUGGGAUCCUAACCAUAGGCCUUGAAUCAGGUCUUGGGACACUGUCAGGUGGGCAGUUUGACUGGGGCGGUCGCCUCCUAAAAAGUAACGGAGGCGCUCAAAGGUUUCCUCAGCAC